AGGAUCUGUUUCUCAUUGAGGGCCAUGGUCUCUCCUCUCCUCUUCUUCACUUGGGUCUUCUGCAGCUUCUUGCAGGCGUACAUCUUCCCCGUGGCUCGCACCUGGCAUGCCCACACCUGUACACGACAACAGGAAGGAAGCGGUCAAAGAACAUGCUCUCCUGGUACUGGAGGAAUGGACCCCCACUCAGCUGCUUGUGGAGGUCUCUGAUCACACACACACACUGGACAUGAGCUGAGCAAGCAUAAACUACAGCAUACCUUCUCCCCCCUUUGUCUCUGGCUGCCUCGCUACCUCUAUCUCUGUCUCACUCUCCUUCUUUAUGUCUUAUUCUCUCUCUCUCUCUCUCUCUCUCUCUGUCUCUGUCUCUGUCUCUGUCUCAUUCUCUCUUUGUCUCUCUCUCCGUCUCUGUCUCAUUCUCUCUUUGUCUCUCUCUCCGUCUCUCGGUCUCGAUCUCUCUUUCUCUCUCCCUCCCUCUUAACCCUCUCGCUCUCUCUCUCUCCGUCUCUCUUUCACAUUCGCUCUUUCUCUCUCUCUCACUCUCCGUCUCUCUGUCCCAUUCUCUCUUUCUCUCACUCCCUCGCCUUUCCCUCUAUUGCCUUUUCUUUUUCUUUCUCUCCACCAUUCUUUCUGCCCAUCUCCCUCUCA